rnacentral:sRNA from 2 species
AAGGACCCGAGGCUAGCGAUGCCGGUGGAGUUAAGCUGUCUUGUCAGCGAGAUUCCCUGACGCUGGUGUUGAGGGUUUGACCAGGAGCUGGUCUUUUGCUAGGAUUCGACUGCUGCGGUGAUGGGAGUUGGCAAGAUCAACAACGGGCGAUCGAGGAUUGAGGCCGGAGAAGGACGAGCCACCAGCAAUGUGGAAGAUCGUGAGACAACUGACAGGAAGAUACAGGAGCCAGAGUUGUUAAGGGUGUUGUAGAUACGACCAGGGAAGGGAGGAGGAAAGAAGAAAGGGACGAAGGACGUUCGAGAGAUGGCUCAGGAGUCAGAAGCACCGACUGGGUUUAUGGACGGGACAAUCCACAGCGCAUGGCGAGAGCACUUUUUGGUGAUCUGAUCGGAGAUUAGGACGAAGAAUGACAGCGCUGGAGACUUGCUCUGAAUACGAGACAGUCGAUAUACGGAUGGCCUCUGCGAUGAAUGUCCAAUAAACUCUAUCUAAUCUAGCGAAUGGUUCCAUCUGUCGGGAUCAUUGCCCCC